GAUGAACGCUGGCGGCGUGCCUAAUACAUGCAAGUCGAGCGAACAGACGAGGAGCUUGCUCCUUUGACGUUAGCGGCGGACGGGUGAGUAACACGUAGGUAACCUACCUAUAAGACUGGGAUAACUUCGGGAAACCGGAGCUAAUACCGGAUAAUAUUUCGAACCGCAUGGUUCGAUAGUGAAAGAUGGCUUUGCUAUCACUUAUAGAUGGACCUGCGCCGUAUUAGCUAGUUGGUAAGGUAACGGCUUACCAAGGCAACGAUACGUAGCCGACCUGAGAGGGUGAUCGGCCACACUGGAACUGAGACACGGUCCAGACUCCUACGGGAGGCAGCAGUAGGGAACCGGCCGCAAUGGGGGAAAGCCUGACGGAGCAGCGCGGCGUGAGUGAUGAAGGUCUUCGGAUCGUAAAACUCUGUUAUUAGUGAAGAACAAACGUGUAAGUAACUGUGCACUUCUUGACGGUACCUAAUCAGAAAGCCACGGCUAACUACGUG
rnacentral:rRNA from 1 species